rnacentral:rRNA from 1 species
AAGGGGGGGGGGGGGGGAGCGCGGGGUCGGGGCCUGGGGGGGGGCGGGGGGGGAUAGGGAGGGGGGGGGGGGGGGUCAAAGGAAAGAACGGCGGAAAGUGGAGAGGGGAGUUGCCCGACGAAAACCCCCCCGUUUUGCCCCGGGGGGAUUUUGUUUUUUCCCUUAUUUCCCUUUUUUUUUUUUUUUGAUUUUCGUUCCGAGUUCCCUGUUUUAAACCCACUUUCCUUUGCUUUGGCGUGUUUUCCUUUUUUUCUGUUUACUUUUUUUUUCCCCCCCCCCACCCACACAACCAAACCCUAGCUUCAAGGAGGGGCCCAGGGGGAUCGUCUCCUUUUAAGUGACGCGGGACGGGGGUAACACACUGGGUAUACCACUCACAAUAAGAGGGUGGGUAACUUGGGGGAACCGGGGCUCUAACCCUGGAUAAUAUAUUACCCCCGCUUGUUCAAAAUAGGAAAGCUGGUUUUCGUUUCAAUAUAAAGAGGCUCCGGCCCCCCUUUAGUUAGGUGGAAAAGGUACCGCCUUCACAAGGGAAACGUUUGUUACCCCCCCUUGAGAGGGUUAUCGCCCCCAUGGGAAUUGAACCCCCGUCCCAGACUCCUACGGGGAGCCACCAGUAGGGAAUCUUCCCCAAUGGGCGAAACCCUGACGGAGCAACCCCCGGGUGAGUGAUGAAGGUCUUCGGAUCGUAAAACUCUUGUUAUUAGGGAAGAACAAAAUGUGUAAGUAACUAUGCACGUCUUGACGGUACCUAAUCAGAAAGCCACGGCUAACUACGUGCCAGCAGCCGCGGUAAUACGUAGGUGGCAAGCGUUAUCCGGAAUUAUUGGGCGUAAAGCGCGCGUAGGCGGUUUUUUAAGUCUGAUGUGAAAGCCCACGGCUCAACCGUGGAGGGUCAUUGGAAACUGGAAAACUUGAGUGCAGAAGAGGAAAGUGGAAUUCCAUGUGUAGCGGUGAAAUGCGCAGAGAUAUGGAGGAACACCAGUGGCGAAGGCGACUUUCUGGUCUGUAACUGACGCUGAUGUGCGAAAGCGUGGGGAUCAAACAGGAUUAGAUACCCUGGUAGUCCACGCCGUAAACGAUGAGUGCUAAGUGUUAGGGGGUUUCCGCCCCUUAGUGCUGCAGCUAACGCAUUAAGCACUCCGCCUGGGGAGUACGACCGCAAGGUUGAAACUCAAAGGAAUUGACGGGGACCCGCACAAGCGGUGGAGCAUGUGGUUUAAUUCGAAGCAACGCGAAGAACCUUACCAAAUCUUGACAUCCUCUGACCCCUCUAGAGAUAGAGUUUUCCCCUUCGGGGGACAGAGUGACAGGUGGUGCAUGGUUGUCGUCAGCUCGUGUCGUGAGAUGUUGGGUUAAGUCCCGCAACGAGCGCAACCCUUAAGCUUAGUUGCCAUCAUUAAGUUGGGCACUCUAAGUUGACUGCCGGUGACAAACCGGAGGAAGGUGGGGAUGACGUCAAAUCAUCAUGCCCCUUAUGAUUUGGGCUACACACGUGCUACAAUGGACAAUACAAAGGGUAGCGAAACCGCGAGGUCAAGCAAAUCCCAUAAAGUUGUUCUCAGUUCGGAUUGUAGUCUGCAACUCGACUAUAUGAAGCUGGAAUCGCUAGUAAUCGUAGAUCAGCAUGCUACGGUGAAUACGUUCCCGGGUCUUGUACACACCGCCCGUCACACCACGAGAGUUUGUAACACCCGAAGCCGGUGGAGUAACCAUUUGGAGCUAGCCGUCGAAGGUGGGACAAAUGAUUGGGGUGAAGUCGAACCAAGGAGCAUGGG